UUAAGUUGCUCCCGAAUUUAGAAGUGUGGCUAUCGGACAUUUUUAGAUUGAAAGUGUCAGAAUCGAUUAAUUCAGAUUGCAUAGUUGGUCGUAAUGAGUACAGAUUAGUGUCUGACUGUUAAUGGGAUUCAGGGUUUUUGAAUUUGAUGAAUCAUUGGAGCACUAAUUAUUAUAUCAUUUGAUCGAGAGAUGACGAAUGAGAGGUUAUUUAAAAAUUAGUGAAAGUGGACAGUGUCUCACCUAGAGCAGAUUUCGCUGCUGCUGAGGCCACACGGGGGUCCACUACAGAGGCGAGGAACGCAACUGUGCUCAUUACGGGGUUUCCUGCUUGGCUAAAAGGCACCGGCUGGUAUGCCAGUGGUCCCAGGGAUGAAUAGCUUUCCUCCAGAUAGGGGUCUUCGAUGGGCAGACGAAGGAAGUGCAGGAUACACUCAUCCUGCGUGCGGCUGCCGACGUGCUCCGACACCUUGUUCCAGUCGUCCUUGUACAUCUCCAGUCCCUGAAAACAACAAGGUGUUUACCUUGGAAGACCCCAUUUUCUUGCUGUACAUGUCAGUCCGUAGCCCAAAGUUCUGCAGACCUGGGAUGUCUUGGGUUGUAACGGCACCAGACUGGACGGAGUGUCUGCAAGGACAUGAAAGUGGGAAGUGGGUGGGGGGCCCAUGGGUGUAGGCCGACUCUCAGAGUCCACCUGGUAGUUGAUCAGUCCCCACUGCUCCAGGAAGGCGUGGACUCUGCAAGAGAAGACGUAAUGAUUUUAUUCAACUCAGUCAUAAAAGACGAUUAUUGUACGAUGAGCUUUAUAUGACCUACACAGUUAAGGAAUCACAUCUUGUGUAAUUCUAUAUUUUUAAAGAUCAGGGGGAGGCAAUGUUUUAGGGCCGCAGCUAUCGAUUAUUUUAGUAGUCAAUUAAUCUAUCAUCUAGUUAGUUCAAAUAAUCGAGUAAUCGGAUUAGGAACAUUUAAUGCGCUGCAGAGUCAAUUUUAAGAGAUGUAAAACAAAUGCUAAGAUUGCACUUUCAAAAAAACAUGAAAUGCGAAUACAAAAUAAAAUUCUCGAGUGUUUCUUCAAACUAUUUAGAAUUGCACAUUUAAAAAUUAGACCAAAAUACCUCAGUUUAGCCUUAAAUGGUAUAAAAAUGAUGAUGUUGAAUGAAUUUAUUGUCAUUAUCAUCAUCAUCAUAAUCAUUGAGUUUCAGAGUGUGGAAUUUGCCCGAAAAAAAAAAAAAGACGAUGACAGACAAAGGGAAGACGGGAAAAAGCAAAUGCUUAUCGUAAAAUAAUAAAAAUUGAAAAUAAAAUAAAAUAAUAAUAAAUGAGGAUCUAAAUACAAUAGCUUAAAUGCUAUAAAACGGGAACGUUUUAUUUAAAUUUUAUUUUUUUUACAGUGGUGUCAACAAAUCGUUCAGACACAUAUACCCAAAAAAACUGCUAAAUACACCUACAAACUAAAUUAUGAAUGCAUUAAAAAACAUUAAAAAACUUACCUUAUGUUGGUCUUAGCAGGGAGCAGUUGGAUUCAGCCAUGUUAAAUGAGUUAUGUCAUAUUCACUGUUGCCACUAGAAGGCAAUGUAUCAGGGCUGCAACUAUCGAUUAUUUUAGUAGUCGAUUAAUCGAUGAACUCGUUAGUUCGAAUAAUCGAGUAAUCGGAUAAGAAACAUGAAAAAUUAAAAUACCUGAGCUGAGCCUCAGA